rnacentral:rRNA from 1 species
CAGUAGUGAGGAAAGGUGUAUAGUUAAUAGCAUUACACUGUGACGUUAGCUACAGAAGAAGCAACCGGCAAACUCCCGUGCCAGCAGCCGCGGUAAUACGGAGGGUGCGAGCGUUAAUCGGAAUUACUGGGCGUAAAGCGCGCGUAGGCGGUUAGUUUAAGUGAGGUGUGAAAUCCCCUGGGCUCAACCUAGGAACUGCAUUUCAAACUGGAUAACUUGAGUAUGUCAGAGGGUAUUGGAAUUUCCCCGUGUAGCAGUGAAAAUGCGUAGAUAUGGGAAGGAACAUCAGUGGCGAAGGCGAAUACCUGGGAUAAUACUGACGCUGAGGUGCGAAAGCGUGGGGAGCAAACGGGAUUAGAUACCCUGGUAG